AUUGAACGCUGGCGGCAUGCCUUACACAUGCAAGUCGAACGGCAGCACGGGAGCAACCCUGGUGGCGAGUGGCGAACGGGUGAGUAAUGUAUCGGAACGUACCUUUCAGUGGGGGAUAACGUAGCGAAAGUUACGCUAAUACCGCAUAUUCUGUGAGCAGGAAAGCAGGGGAUCGCAAGACCUUGCGCUGAUUGAGCGGCCGAUAUCAGAUUAGCUAGUUGGUGAGGUAAAGGCUCACCAAGGCGACGAUCUGUAGCGGGUCUGAGAGGAUGAUCCGCCACACUGGAACUGAAGACACGGUCCAGACUCCUACGGGAGGCAGCAGUGGGGAAUUUUGGACAAUGGCGCAAGCCUGAUCCAGCCAUGCCGCGUGAGUGAAG
rnacentral:rRNA from 1 species